GCAGAGGAAUAUCCAACUUUAAAACCAUCGCUGUUAGAGGUUGCUUCCAUUCGGUUAAGCGGCCCAUGAAACGGUGAUGACCUGAGGAAUGGAACAU
rnacentral:snRNA from 1 species